CAAGCUCAGAACUACCAGAUUUGGAUCACUGAACACAGCUGUGAUUCAUUAAGCCAUCCACAGCACCAAGUUGAAAGCCAUCAUCACUGGGGAGAAGUUUAAAAUCUGCAGAACAAAUCCAAACCUAAGCAGCUUUCCUUAUGGUGCUUGCCAUGUCUGAAAGCUGGAAAGCCCUCUCCUCCCACUGUUCCCUCCUGCAAGGUGGUCAUGGCUGGUGGUAGGAAAUGGAGCACGUGGGAAGCAAGGGGAAGCCAAACUACUCCAAACAUUUCUUGACUGCAGUACAUCUGGUAUUUCACAGCUGGCAGCAGCUUGGGAGAGUGCGGAGCUGUGGACAGCUACACUACAUCACAAGUCACUGCUGGGAAUUAUUUUAAAGAGGCAGAAAUGCAGUGUUUCAAGUCCCAUAGCUUGUACAAACAUCGCCAGAGAAAAUACAAGGG
rnacentral:lncRNA from 1 species